rnacentral:rRNA from 1 species
UACGUAGGGUGCGAGCGUUGUCCGGAAUUAUUGGGCGUAAAGGGCUCGUAGGCGGUUUGUCGCGUCGGGAGUGAAAACUCAGGGCUUAACCCUGAGCCUGCUUCCGAUACGGGCAGACUAGAGGUAUGCAGGGGAGAACGGAAUUCCUGGUGUAGCGGUGAAAUGCGCAGAUAUCAGGAGGAACACCGGUGGCGAAGGCGGUUCUCUGGGCAUUACCUGACGCUGAGGAGCGAAAGCUAGGGGAGCAAACGGG